rnacentral:lncRNA from 1 species
ACAUGUCAUAGAAUUCCCCUUUGCAGUGGUGUGUGGAUUUGGAGUGUCUCUAGAUUUAGGGCCUUGUGUGUGUAUGCCGGGCACGGUACUAUACUGUGUAGUUCUGGUUUUAGUUGUUUUGAGGAAACUAUUGAUUUCCAUGGUUGCUGUUCCCAUCAUCAGCAAAACUAGUUCCUGUUCUUAGUGUCCUUGCCAGCAUUUGUUGUAAGUCAUUUUUUAAGUGAUAGCCAUUCCUGUAAGAGUAAGGUGAAAUCUCUGUAGUUUCAAUUGUUGGCAUUUCACUAAUGCCUAAAGAUGUGCAACACUGUCCAAUAUUUAUUGAUCAUUUUAUAUUUCUUUGAAAGCUGUCUCUUCAGUUUAUUAACCCAUUUAGUGAUGUGAUUUUUGUUUUGUUUCAUUUUUCGAGUUCUUCAUAUUCUGCGCAUUGGCGUGUGGUUGUCAAAGAUUCUCCUAUUUUCUAUGCUGUUUUCCUGCAGUGGUUUCAGUUUUCAGGUCUCACGUUAAGGGCUUUGAUCGAUUUUGUUAAGUAUGGAUCUAGUUGGUUAUUAGUGUGUAUAUUCCCAGUUUUCCCAGGAACAUUUGGAGAAGAGGCUCCUUCUCAGUACUUGAGACCUUUGUGAAGAAUUGGGUAGCUAUAGACAUGUGUGUUUAUUUCUGGGCCAUGUUGUACUUUAUGGGUGUGUGUGUGUGUGUGUAGUGCAUUGCUAUUGCUGUGACUCUAUUGUAAUCUGAGACAGGUACAGUAAUAGAUUACUGCGCUGCCUUCAGCACCACUCUAUGCUUAGCAUCCUAGGACUGUGCAUUGUCUUCGUGAUCGCAACUCUGGAUGAGUGUGAAUUGUACGUUAGUGCUUUCCCUUAGAACUUUCCCUGCUGCCUGGUUUGACCACCAUGUGUUCUAUGAACAAGUUCUUGGUGUUAAUUUGGGCAUUGUAAGUGGCUUUUCUCUUUGAAUAUCUGUUUGAACAUAGUGCUUCCUUGACCUUGGUUUUUGUUUGGUUUUUGUUGUUGUUGUGUUUUUUUAUUCGGUUGGUUUUAUAAGAUUUUAUUUUGGGGGCUGGAGAGAUGGCUCAGUGGUUAAGAGCACUACUGUUCUUCCAAAAGAAAUUCAUAGCAUCUACAUGUCAGCGCACUCUCGCUCUCUCUCUCUCUCUCUCUCUCUCUCCACACACACACACACAAAACACCAAUGCACAUGAAAUUAAAAGAAAAUAAAUAUUUUAUGUGUCUGGGUGUUUUACUUGCAUGUAUGUCUACUCCAUAUGCAUGCAAUGCCCAUGAAGGCCAGAAGUUAGUUUUGGCUCUCUGGAACUAGAGUUACAAACAGUUGUUAGCUGCCAUGUUGAUUCUUGUUGAUUCUGUUAGAUUCUGUUAGUGAUAUAUUCUAUUUCCCUUUUUAAUUUAGUUUAUGUGAAUUUUUCAUCUCUAACAUAAUUUUUUCCCCCUAAAAUCUCAAUUUGCUUAACUGAAUUCCUCUCACUUUGCUUUUUUGGCUAUAUGGCUGAGGUUUUCAUCCAUUUUGCCAACUUUCUCCACUGUGCUUCUGGCUUUCCUUUAGUUGGUGCCUUGAUUUCUUCCCUAAUUGAUCUGUUUGUCUCUGUCCUUUUUGAGGACAUUGAUCAUUUUUUGCUGUUAAACCUUGAGCUGUGGGUGGUGGUAAGAUCCUGGAGAGAGAGAGAGCCUGUGACCUGGGCCCUUCACACUUCUUUGUUUCUGUGUUGCAGUUCGCGACUCUUUGGUUUGGAAACCUCUUCCUCUUUAUUUAGGGGGCUUAUUGGGGAGCAGCCUACUUGGGUGGCUCAGUUAAUUCCCAGUUCCACUUCUUGAGGAGCAAAUAAAGCGUUACAGCAGCAGCAGUUGCGGCAAACGGUGCAUGAGAGGCACAGGGUCUGAGUCAGUGGGCAUUCUACUCAUCAGC